GCUCAGCUAUUUAAAAAAUGUUGAAUAUCAACAAUGGCUUUCACUGGGGCAUUGUCAACUUUUGUAUGAAGCAAUCUUGGCUGAAUGCGAUGGCUCCCAGUGCAGGGAGGGCUCGGCUCAGCGCUGCUGCGGAAUGGAAGACUGCCGCUCGCCUGCCCUUCUGUCUCUCGUCUCGGCAUGGUGACAUGGUUUGAGAGUCUUACCUGGCUCUCUUCAGCUAAACAGUCUUCAGGACCCUAAAGAUGCAGAGGGAAGGAUUAUGAAGAACGGCUGUGCAAUGGUACAAGUUCUUAUCUUUUCUCGGACUGUAUGAUACCAUGACAAAACAGUUAAACAACAGGCUGUGGACACCAGUGGAAGACACAGGCUGUAGUCUUCAACAGUGAAUUACCUGUAGUACAUUUGCCUGCAGGUCUUAUACCACCAUGAUGGCACAUUUACUGGUCCACCCCACUUCUAUAUUUAAAUGGGUUGAGCUCAACAAAACAGGUGAGCCAGACGUGUAUAUUCAGUGUUCAUUUGAUAUCACUCUGUUUGUCUUGUGUGUAAAGGGUUUCUGUUCCUGUUUGCUUUUGUUAGGGACACUGAGCCCCCCUCUUACCGGGAUCAUCUGUCUGCCUGGUGGACGAGCUGCGUCCUGCCCACUGCACCCAAUUCACAUAGAAAUUUACUCAAAUACUACAGCCUGGGAAGCGUGGGACCGCGGCCAGGCAGCAGCUGCUGACCGGCCAGUGCUGACCUGUGCGCUUAGGCGAACUGGAUUUCACCACACGCCCACCGGCCUGGCCCUGCAUACCUCCACAGGCGGACAGUGGUUAUGUGUGUCCCAGCAUGCCCAGUGUAGCCACGUGGACAUGGAUGCAUGGAAGUGUGCAAACAACAAAAGCAAAAAGGAAAAUACAGUCAGAUCAGUGUAAUUUUUAUUGGUGGUCCUAAAAGAGAAGAAUAAAUCUGUACUAAAUAUAAAAAUUAUUGUUUAG
ensembl:lncRNA